rnacentral:rRNA from 1 species
ACUAACAAGGAUUUCCCCUAGUAAACUGCGAGUGAAGCGGGAAGAGCUCAAAUUUAAAAUCUGGCGGUCUCUGAUCGUCCGAGUUGUAACCUGAAGGAGCGUUUUCCGCGCCGAACCGUGUACAAGUCUCCUGGAACGGAGCGUCAUAGAGGGUGAGAAUCCCGUCCAUGACACGGACGCUCGGUGCUUUGUGAUACGCUCCCGAAGAGUCGCGUUGUUUGGGAAUGCAGCGCAAAAUGGGUGGUAAAUUCCAUCUAAAGCUAAAUAUUGGCGAGAGACCGAUAGCGAACAAGUACCGUGAGGGAAAGAUGAAAAGCACUUUGGAAAGAGAGUUAAACAGUACGUGAAAUUGUUGAAAGGGAAACGCUUGAAGUCAGUCGCGUCUUGUGGAACUCAGCCUUGCUUCGGCCUGGUGUACUUUCCACUCGACGGGUCAACAUCAAUUUCGACCGGUGGACAAGGGCGAGGGGAAUGUAGCGUCGUUUCGACGACGUGUUAUAGCCCCUCGUCGCAUACACCGGCUGGGAUUGAGGACCGCAGCGCGCCCUUGUGGCCGGGGGUUCGCCCCAUGUACCGCGCUUAGGAUGUUGGCAUAAUGGCUUUAAGCGACCCGUCUUGAAACACGGACCAAGGAGUCUAACAUGCUUGCGAGUGUUCGGGUGGAAAACCCUUGCGCGUAAUGAAAGUGAAAGUUGGGAGCCUCCGCGAGGGGGUGCACCGACGCCCGGCCCUGACGUUCUCUGACGGUGCUGCGGUAGAGCAAGUAUGUUGGGACCCGAAAGAUGGUGAACUAUGCCUGAAUAGGGCGAAGCCAGAGGAAACUCUGGUGGAGGCUCGUAGCGAUUCUGACGUGCAAAUCGAUCGUCAAAUUUGGGUAUAGGGGGCGAAAG